rnacentral:rRNA from 1 species
UACGUAGGCAGCAAGCGUUGUUCGGAAUUACUGGGCGUAAAGAGCGUGUAGGCGGUGCUCUAAGUUCGGUGUGAAAUCUCCCGGCUUAACUGGGAGGGUGCGCCGGAAACUGGAGUGCUUGAGCGCGGGAGAGGAAAGCGGAAUUCCUGGUGUAGCGGUGAAAUGCGUAGAUAUCAGGAGGAACACCUGUGGUGUAGACGGCUUUCUGGACCGUAACUGACGCUGAGACACGAAAGCGUGGGGAUCAAACAGG